GAUGAACGCUGGCGGCGUGCUUAACACAUGCAAGUCGAACGGACUUUUAAUGAAACCUAGUGAUUUAAAAGUUAGUGGCGGACGGGUGAGUAACGCGUGGGUAACCUGCCGUAUGCUGGGGGACAACAGUUGGAAACGACUGCUAAUACCGCAUAAGCGCACAGUACCGCAUGGUACAGUGUGAAAAGUUUUUUCGGUGUGAGAUGGACCCGCGUCUGAUUAGCUAGUUGGCGGGGUAACGGCCCACCAAGGCGACGAUCAGUAGCCGGCCUGAGAGGGUGGACGGCCACAUUGGGACUGAGACACGGCCCAAACUCCUACGGGAGGCAGCAGUGGGGAAUAUUGCACAAUGGGGGGAACCCUGAUGCAGCGACGCCGCGUGAGUGAAGAAGUAUUUCGGUAUGUAAAGCUCUAUCAGCAGGGAAGAAAAUGACGGUACCUGACUAAGAAGCCCCGGCUAACUACGUG
rnacentral:rRNA from 1 species